rnacentral:rRNA from 1 species
AUGCAUCUUGUUCAUUGUGAUCAUAAUUACAUAUAUAAUUUCUGGCCUCGCGAAGGAGAAAGCAUCGCUCAAGCUUGGGGGAGGCUUAAGUCAAUGUUAUAUUCAUGCCCCAAUCAUCAGCUCUCAAGAGAUAUGAUUGUUCAAAAUUUUUAUGCUCGGCUUUCUCUCAAUGAUCGCACCAAGCUCGAUACUUCCUGUGUUGGUUCUUAUAUGUUGAAGACUACUCAAUUCAAAUGGUAUUUAUUGGAAAGAAUUACACGUAACUCCGAAGAUUGGGGUUCCGACGAUGGUAAGGAGUUAGGUAUAACACCUAAGUUUGAUUGUGUUAAAUCUUUUAUGGAUACCGAUGCUUUUCGUGGAUUUAGCGCUAAGUUUGGACUUGACUCUGAGAUAGUAGCUGCUUUUUGUGAAUCUUUUGCUACUCACGUUGAUCUCCCUAAGGAGAAGUGGUUUAAAUAUAAUCCUCCGAUUGAAGUAAAAGUAGUUGACCUAUUACAGUUGAAGAAAAGACUAUCACUUAUAAUGAUCCUAUUGUUCCUACUAGUUAUGUUGAGAAACCACCUUUUCCUGUUAGGAUAA